AUGGGGUUGUUAUGGAAAAAGACGAAGAAUUUAUAGUGCGUGUUUGCAGAGCUCUCUCUCUUCGAAUCCAUUCUGAAUUUACACACUAAAAGACUAAACUCCAAAGACUCUCUCUCUCUCUCAAAAACUCUGAGAAAUUCUUAGUCUUCUAGAAAUCUCUGGGCCAUUUAGCAUUGUAGACGACGAAGAGCCUUUCCACGGCGUCGUUUCGUCGUUUCAGUCUGUUACUCUCGCAAUUUUUUUUUGCUUAAAAAGCGUUUGGGGAAAACGAUUAGGGUUCCAGAAAACUUGUUCUAAGGUUUGAAAAUGUCUUCCAGUGCAGAAGAAGAUAUUAGUGAGAAGAAUUUGAAGGACUAUGAGUAUGACCAGUAUAGUGAUUUGAAGAAAGGAAGAAUUAAGGUUAAAUAUUCUAGUACAGUAUAUAGAUGCCCAUACUGCCCUGGGAAGAGGAAGCAAGACUAUUAUUAUAAAGAUCUUCUCCAACAUGCUUCUAGUUUUGGUAGAUCAACGAGUAGGGGCGUAAAAGAGAAAGCAAAGCACUUAGCUUUAGAGAGGUAUAUGAAAAGGUAUCUCGAUGGGCAGGCUCAUUCAGAACCUGCCAAAAAAUCUGAAAGUACCUCUAUGCCUGAUGGUGAUAAGAAGUUUGCACGUUCUAGGAGGCCACUUGAUGUGCCAGUUCAUUCAGAACAUUCUAAAAAAUCUGAAUCUACCCCCACGCCUGAUGGUGAUCAUCCAAGGAGGCAUCAUGAUGUUCAGGGUCAUUCAGAACCCUCCAAAAAAUCUGAACGUCACCUUUUAGCCAAUGGUGAUCAAGAGUUUGUGUAUCCUUGGAUGGGCAUUGUUGCAAACAUUCAAACUGAAUGGAAAGAAGGAAAAAAAGUUGCUGAGAGUGGCUCGAAACUCAAGGAUGAGUUUUUAAGAAAGGGGUUUAAUCCUCUGAAGGUUUUUCCCUUAUGGGGUUAUAGGGGUCACACAGGUUUUGCCAUAGUAGAGUUUAAGAAUGAUUGGGCUGGUUUCAACAAUGCUAUGUCAUUUGAGAAGAGUUUUGAAGUUGAGCAUUGUGGGAAAAGGGACUACUAUGGACACGAAAAUCCAGGAAAUAAGCUGUAUGGAUGGGUGGCCCGAAGUGAUGAUUAUAACUCAAGAGGUUUUAUUGGUGACCAUCUAAAAAAGAAUGCUGAUUUGAAAACCAUUUCUGCCAAAGAAGCAGAAGAUCAACGGAAGGCAUCAAAACUUGUCUCGAACUUGACAAAUACCCUUGUGAGCAAGAGUUUGCACCUUGAAGAGAUGAAGAACAAAUAUCUUGAGACCAAUGCAUCUCUAAACAAAUUGAUGACGGCUAAGGAUACAAUGCUUAAGAAGUUCAAUGAACAGAUAAGAAUGGUGCAGCAGAAAUCACACAAUCAUUUUGCACAGAUCUCCUUGGAGCAUCAGAAGAGUACACAGCGUUUAGAAGAACAAAUGAAAAGACUUGAGCAGCGUGAGAAGGAAUUGCAGCAACGUGAGGCUCAGAAUGAAACUGAGAGAAGGGAGCUUCAUGAUGAGAAAAAAAUGGUUGAAAGGGCUACCUUAGAGCAAAAAUAUGCUGAUGAAAAAGUGUUAAAGUUAGCAGAGGAACAAAAGAUAGAAAAGGAGAAGCUUCACAGCAAAAUUAUUGAACUGGAAAAGAAACUUGAUGCUAGACAAGCACUAGAGCUGGAGAUCGAGCGGAUGAGAGGGGCUUUACACGUGAUGAAACAUAUGGGUGAAGAUGGGGAUAUGGAGGUGAAAAAAAAUAUGGAUGCAAUUAAAGAAGAUUUGAAGGAGAAGGAAGACGAAUUGGAACACAUGGAAGCACUCCAACAAGCUCUUGUCAUCAAGGAGCGCAAAAGUAAUGAUGAACUACAAGAAGCUCGCAAAGAAUUAAUAUCAGGAAUGAGGGAAGUGUCAACCCGUGCUUUUAUUGGCAUCAAGAGAAUGGGAGAGCUUGACAAUAAGCCUUUUCUCACUGCAAUGAAGAGAAAAACUUCUAAUGAAGAAGCAGCUCAGAAAGCAAUAGAACUGUGUUCACAAUGGGAGGAUUAUCUUAGGGAUCCAAGCUGGCACCCCUUUAAGAUAAUCACAGAUAAAGAAGGAAAUAGUAAGGAAGAAAUCAAUGACGAAGAUGAAAAAAUGAAGAGUUUGAAGAAUGAUGGUGAUGAUGAAGUUUAUGAGGCUGUCAAAGUAGCCUUGAUGGAGAUGAAUGAAUACAACCCGAGUGGUCGGUACAUAAUACAAGAGCUAUGGAAUUUUAAAGAAGGAAGGAAGGCAACGUUGAAAGAAGGAGUCUUGCAUGUACUAAAUAAGUGGAAAUCUCUUAAACGAAAGAGACGCUGAAGAUUUAGUGGUCUGGAUAAUGAUUAGCUAUUGGCAUUGGAAAGGCUCUUAUGAUAUUUUGGAGCCAAGACGGUAAUUGGAAUGAUAGGGAAGUGAAUUUCCAUCGACCAUGAGUGUUGUGUGCUUGUGCCAUUGUGAGGAGUUGAUCAUGAAUUGUUAAAGGGCCCUCAGUGCCUUAAAGGCCCACAAGGAUUUGUGGCCGAAGAGUCCUUUUAUUAAGGAAACAUGGAUGUGGUGCUUCAAGAGUUUCAACGAUUUUGUGUGCUUGGGUCAAUGGUAGGCUAUUGUUAGUGUUUUAUCUAAUGCAUAUCCGUAAUCAGAUGGAGUAUAAGAAACUUUAGAAUUUUCAUUUUGGUGAUUUAUGUUUUCUGUGUAUGAAAAGAUAGAAUGGACAGAUGAGAUCGGAUGAUGGUAGUUUUUAUUGUUUUGCAAUAGGUGUCGGAAUAUAUUAGGAUCAAGCUUCACAACCUUUAGGAUAUGUUACAUCACUACUUGAUAACUUUUCAUUUAGAAUAGAAUAAUAUCUUGAUAACUUUUCAUUUAGAAAAA